rnacentral:rRNA from 1 species
CAGUCGAGCGGACAGAUGGGAGCUUGCUCCCUGAUGUUAGCGGCGGACGGCUGAGUAACACGUGGGUAACCUGCCUGUAAGACUGGGAUAACUCCGGGAAACCGGGGCUAAUACCGGAUGGUUGUUUGAACCGCAUGGUUCAAACAUAAAAGGUGGCUUCGGCUACCACUUACAGAUGGACCCGCGGCGCAUUAGCUAGUUGGUGAGGUAACGGCUCACCAAGGCAACGAUGCGUAGCCGACCUGAGAGGGUGAUCGGCCACACUGGGACUGAGACACGGCCCAGACUCCUACGGGAGGCAGCAGUAGGGAAUCUUCCGCAAUGGACGAAAGUCUGACGGAGCAACGCCGCGUGAGUGAUGAAGGUUUUCGGAUCGUAAAGCUCUGUUGUUAGGGAAGAACAAGUACCGUUCGAAUAGGGCGGUACCUUGACGGUACCUAACCAGAAAGCCACGGCUAACUACGUGCCAGCAGCCGCGGUAAUACGUAGGUGGCAAGCGUUGUCCGGAAUUAUUGGGCGUAAAGGGCUCGCAGGCGGUUUCUUAAGUCUGAUGUGAAAGCCCCCGGCUCAACCGGGGAGGGUCAUUGGAAA